GAGCAUAAGCUCACCUUUACUUUGAAGUACUUCUUUCUUGCUUUAUAUGAUAUGCAUGAAAAUGAAGUAGUAGGGUCCAACGCCCCUAAGACAACACGCCUUAAUGUGAUUAAACGCGUAACUAAAAUCAAUCACCAUUCCUAGACCGAGAUUCAACACAAGGCUCGUGUUGAAUCUAAACCAAGGUUCAUAAUCAUCCUAAGGCCCUAAGGCAACUAUAUAGUCCAUCAAAUGAAUGCAAAGGUUAUGUUAGUAG
rnacentral:lncRNA from 1 species